AGCCGCGGUAAUUCCAGCUCCAAUAGCGUAUAUUAAAGUUGUUGCAGUUAAAAAGCUCGUAGUUGAAUUUCGGGAUUGACACAUCGGUCGUGCCUUAAGGGGUAUGAACUGGUGUAGUCAAUUUCUCACCUUCUGGAGAACCGCAAUGCCCUUAAUUGGGUGUCGCGGGGAACCAGGACCUUUACUUUGAAAAAAUUAGAGUGUUUAAAGCAGGCAUUUUGCUUGAAUACAUUAGCAUGGAAUAAUAAAAUAGGACGGAUGAUUUUAUUUUGUUGGUUUCUAGGACCACCGUAAUGAUUAAUAGGGAUAGUUGGGGGCAUUAGUAUUCAAUUGUCAGAGGUGAAAUUCUUGGAUUUAUUGAAGACUAACUACUGCGAAAGCAUUUGCCAAGGAUGUUUUCAUUAAUCAAGAACGAAAGUUAGGGGAUCGAAGACGAUCAGAUACCGUCGUAGUCUUAACCAUAAACUAUGCCGACUAGGAAUCAGACGAUGUUAAUUUUUUAAUGACUCGUUUGGCACCUUACG
rnacentral:misc_RNA from 1 species